UUGGAAGCACCUGUUGCGAGAGUAUGCGGUCUGGAUACCCCAUUUCCUCUUGUAUUUGAGCCCUUCUAUAUGCCCAACAAGAACAAGAUAUUGGAUGCAAUCAAAUCAACUGUAAAUUUCUAGUGCAAAAGCAAGUCUGCUUCUUUCUUCUCUCUCUAGUUUGCUUUCCUAGUGCAGGUGCCAUCUCCCUCCAUUAUCACCUUGCACCUGUAUGAUGGAGUACGGAAAUAAUGUAGCACGAUGUCUUCACUCCUUCACUCAAUCUAUUCCGAUAUUUAAAAGAAACCAGCAAUAAUAUAUUUUUCUUCGUUAAAAAGCUAUAAUGAUUCCUCAAUAACAUACUUUGCUUUCCCAAACCCGUUAAUUACCAGUCCUUACUCAACUGCUCAAUGAUCAAUCAGUGAAGUGAACACAUUAUUAAUGUGAAAAUUAUAUAGAAAAUAAAAAAAGUUCCUUUCAGGCUUGGCUCUGCUAAUAGAGAUGCUGAGACUCUGACAACGUUGAUGGCAACAAAAAGCAGCGGGAUAUGGGAGCCUCCGAAAACAAGCAGCAUCAUCCUCGCAUGGAGGAAGCUGAUGGUUGUUUUUCA